UAGGUAAAUAAUAGUUAUUUAUCCGGAACAUUAAAGGAAAUAAGAGCGCACAGUGGAUGCCUAGGCACCAAGAGCUGAUGAAGGACGCAAUUAACGGCGAA
rnacentral:rRNA from 1 species